UACGUAGGGAGCAAGCGUUGUCCGGAAUCAUUGGGCGUAAAGCGCGCGUAGGUGGCUUCGUAAGUCCGUUGUGAAAGUCAAAGGCUCAACCUUUGAAGGCCGAUGGAUACUGUGAAGCUAGAGUACGGAAGAGGCGAGUGGAAUUCCUGGUGUAGCGGUGGAAUGCGCAGAUAUCAGGAGGAACACCAAUAGCGAAGGCAGCUCGCUGGGACGUUACUGACACUGAGGCGCGAAAGCUAGGGGAGCGAACAGG
rnacentral:rRNA from 1 species